rnacentral:rRNA from 1 species
ACGCUCGACACCUACGGGGGCAGCAGUCGGGAAUAUUGCGCAAUGGAGGAAACUCUGACGCAGUGACGCCGCGUGCAGGAAGAAGGUUUUCGGAUUGUAAACUGCUUUAGACAGGGAAGAGGAAGGACAGUACCUGUAGAAUAAGCUCCGGCUAACUACGUGCAAGCAGCCGCGGUAAUCUGAGCGGGCUGGCAAGGC